rfam:Triticum aestivum genome assembly, contig: Triticum_aestivum_CS42_TGACv1_scaffold_379363_5AL
AUUCUACUCCCUUCGUUGCACAAUACUACAUGCCUUCUGUUUGUCAAAAUAUAUAUGUAUCUAGACAUGUCUUAGUAUAUAGGUACAUCCAUUUUUGGACAAAUGGAAGUCAAGUAUUUUGGAACGGAGGGAGUACACA